AAUUCCUGUUUAUCCUGCAGGAGGUUGCUGCUAUCAGAAUCCAGCUUAGGCAUGCAAGUCUUUGUCGUAAGGCAAGGCAAACUGCUCAGCAACACGUCGAUAACUUGCCAUAUGGUCUGGAAUAACCUCGGGAAACUGAGACUAAUACCGGAUAAAGAACAAAGUGUGGAAUCCUUUUGUUCUGCAAAGCCUCGGCGCCAUAUGAUAGGUCGGCGGCCCAUCAGGCUGUUGGUGAGGUAAUGGCUCACCAAACCUAAGACGGGUCAGGGCCGUGAGAGCGGUUGCCCUGAGAAGGACACUGAGAUACUGGUCCUAGCCCUAAGGGGUGCAGCAGCUAUGAAAACUUCACAAUGCACGAAAGUGUGAUGAGGGGAUUCUGAGUGCUCAGGUAACACUGGGCUUUUCACGAAGGUAAAAACUUCGUGGAAUAAGUGGUGGGCAAGACUGGUGCCAGCCGCCGCGGUAACCCCAGCGCCACAAGUGGGAACCACGUUUAUUGGGUCUAAAGCAUCCGUAGCCGGUUAAGCAAAUAUUCUGUGAAAUCGUUGUGCUCAACGCAACGGCGUGCAGAAUACACUACUUAACUAGGGACCAGGCGAAGUAGACGGUAUUCCAGAGGGAGCGGUAAAAUGUGAUAAUCUCUGGAGGACCACCGAUGGCGAAGGCAGUCUACCAGAAUGGAUCCGACGGUGAGGGAUGAAAGCUAGGGGAGCGAUCCGGAUUAGAUAUCGAGACUCCUGUACUAAAAAGUCUUGUUUGAUCGCAAUCUACUAAACAAGAUUUGAGAUAUCAGGAGUAAAAACUCGACUAAAUACCCGAGUAGUCCUAGCUGUAAACGCUGCGUGCCAGAUGUUGCGUAAUCUUCGAGAUUGCGCAGUGUCGAAACGAAGGUGUUAAGCACGCCACCUGGGAAUUACGGUCGCAAGGCUGAAACUUAAAGGAAUUGGCGGGGAGGCACCACAAGGGGUGCGGCGUGCGGUUUAAUUGUAUUCAACGCCGGAAACCUUACCAGGGGCGACGGCAGAAUGAAACUCAGUCUAAUGGGCUUAGUUGACGAGCCGAGAGGUGGUGCAUGGCCACCGUCAGCUCGUGCCGUGAGGUGUCCUGUUAAGUCAGGCAACGAGCGAGACCUGUAUCCAUUGUUGCUAACGCGUUCGCAAGAAUGAGCGAGCACACUAUGGAGACUGCCUUCGAAAGGAGGAGGAAGGUGCAGGCUACGGUAGGUCAGUAUGCCCCGAAUCUCCUGGGCUACACGCGCGCAACAAUGGUCAUGACAAUGGGAUGCGACUCUGAAAAGAGAAGCCAAUCCUCAAAACAUGAUCCCAGUCUAGAUCGAGGAUUGCAACUCAUCCUCGUGACAACGGAAUCCCUAGUAACCAGAAGUUAGCAUCUUCCGGUGAAUAUGUCCCUGCCUCUUGCACACACCGCCCGUCAAAUCACCCGAGCAGGCUUUCGGUGAGCUGUAUUGAGUAAAUGCACCGAACCGAUGGUCAGUGAGGGGGGUUAAGUCGUCACAAGGUAUCCGUAGGGGAACCUGCGGAUGGAUCACCUCCUU
rnacentral:rRNA from 1 species